GAUGGCAGUGAGAUGUCUCAGCAAUUAAAAGUGCUCGCUCUCUUGUCAGAUGACCUGAGUUUGAUGCCCAAGCCCUGCAAAGUAGGAGUGGACUUUCUCCGGUGGAUUGGCCCCUGACCUUUUCCACUUGUGCUGUGGAACUCAUAUACACAUACCUACAGUUACUCGAUUUCCCAGGCUGCCUGGAGCUCUCAGCCAUUCUCCUGUGUCAGCCUCUUGAGUCCUGGGAUUACAGACACGAGCCAUUGUCCGCCACCAUUUACUCUUUACUCCAUACUGUCGGGUUUCUCAGACCCUCACCGGGGCAUCUCUUACUGUCCUCCAGGCUGGGACUGUGUGAGGUAGUGCUCAGCAAGGUAUUAAUUAGCCUUUUGUCUCAUCAUUUUCCUCUGCUCAUAGAGCUAACCUCCUAUCAGGCAGGGCUAUAUGAGAAGCAGAAAGUCUGUAUAUUGCCUGGUGUUCUGAUGAUCAUAUCUGUAUCCUCUGGAAAGAAGUCUCUCCACCCCACUUCCUCUUUUUUUGUGUUUAAGACCAGGGCUCACUAUGUAACCUUGGUUAUCCUAGAACACACUAUGUAGACCACAGUGGCCGUGAACGCAGAGAUCCACCUGCCCCUGCCACCUGAGUGCUGGGAUUAAACGCGUGCACCACCAUGCUCCGCUUAGAGGAAACUUUCUCAAUAAAGAAUUGUUUGUGCG
rnacentral:lncRNA from 1 species